GGAAGGAGGGUGCCAGCGGCCGCGGGAAGACCCGAAGGACAAGUGGUGGUCAUUAGUAAUGGGCCUAAAGCGUCCGUAGCUGGCCUGUUAGAUGCCUGGGUAAAUCGAUGCGCUCAACGCAUCGAACUCCGGGUAGACCGGCAGGCUUGGGACCGGGAGAGGCGUGAGCUACUCGGGGGGUAGGGGUAAAAUCCUGUAAUCCUCCGGGGAGGACCAGUGGCGAAGGCGUCACGCUAGAACGGCUCCGACAGUGAGGGACGAAGCCCUGGGGCGCAAACCGGAUUAGAUACCCGGGUAGUC
rnacentral:rRNA from 1 species